AAAGGUGCCUGUGAAAAUUCUCCGCAGGAUAAUAGGGAAAAGGGUGAGAAUCCCUUACGGUCCCGCCGCUGUAAAUGUGGAGCACAGUUCCAUACAUCACUGGGAAACUGGGAAGAGGAACUGUUGUGAGGAUGCAUGAGUCAGAAGACCUGCCUUUCAU
rnacentral:ncRNA from 1 species